AUGCCUGAUUCAUCCUCACGCCGCCGGGCAGUAGAGCACCAAGCGAGGUUGUUUGAAGUUUCGUCCUGGCUGCAAUUGAAGCGCCACCGGAGCUACAUGGCACUAUUCCCGCGUUGCAUCGCAGCAUCCGCCGUCAUCGCCGCGCACUGCAUCCGCCGUCGUCGGCUGUGCUGUAUCGGAGUGCACCCAGGGCUGCAAGGGAGCACAAUUGGGGCCAUUGAAGCUCCGCCACGGUUGCAAUGGAGCUCCACCGCGUUUGCGAUAGAGCACCGCCGUGGCCGCAAUGGAGCUUCACCGCAGCUACAAUGGAGCGCAUCCGGGGAGCUCUGCCUCGGUUGCAAUGGAGCUUCACCACAGCUACAAUGGAGCGCGGCCGGGGCUGUAAUGGAGGGCCGUCGUGGCUGCAAUGAAGCUUCGCCGGAGACGUCGUCGUGCGGUGUCCUUGCUUUUUGUGCUUGGUGUGGUCAUGACCAUGGCUGCAAUGGAGCAGCACGCCGGUGCUCCCUGAGCGCGCCCCCGACGAUGCAAUGGAGCGCUACCGGGGAUGCAGCGGUCGGCGGCGGCUCUUGA
rnacentral:rRNA from 1 species